rnacentral:rRNA from 1 species
UACGAAGGGGGCUAGCGUUGCUCGGAAUCACUGGGCGUAAAGGGUGCGUAGGCGGGUCUUUUAAGUCAGGGGUGAAAUCCUGGAGCUCAACUCCAGAACUGCCUUUGAUACUGGGAGUCUCGAGUUCGGGAGAGGUGAGUGGAACUGCGAGUGUAGAGGUGAAAUUCGUAGAUAUUCGCAAGAACACCAGUGGCGAAGGCGGCUCACUGGCCCGAUACUGACGCUGAGGUGCGAAAGCGUGGGGAGCAAACAGG